UACGUAGGGUGCAAGCGUUGUCCGGAAUUAUUGGGCGUAAAGAGCUCGUAGGCGGUCUGUCGCGUCGGCUGUGAAAACCCGGAGCUCAACUCCGGGCUUGCAGUCGAUACGGGCAGACUGGAGUUCGGCAGGGGAGACUGGAAUUCCUGGUGUAGCGGUGAAAUGCGCAGAUAUCAGGAGGAACACCGGUGGCGAAGGCGGGUCUCUGGGCCGAUACUGACGCUGAGGAGCGAAAGCGUGGGGAGCGAACAGG
rnacentral:rRNA from 1 species